GUGGGGAAUAUUGGACAAUGGGCGAAAGCCUGAUCCAGCCAUGCCGCGUGUGUGAAGAAGGUCUUCGGAUUGUAAAGCACUUUAAGUUGGGAGGAAGGGCAUUAACCUAAUACGUUAGUGUUUUGACGUUACCGACAGAAUAAGCACCGGCUAACUUCGUGCCAGCAGCCGCGGUAAUACGAAGGGUGCAAGCGUUAAUCGGAAUUACUGGGCGUAAAGCGCGCGUAGGUGGUUCAGUAAGUUGGAUGUGAAAUCCCCGGGCUCAACCUGGGAACUGCAUCCAAAACUGCUGAGCUAGAGUACGGUAGAGGGUGGUGGAAUUUCCUGUGUAGCGGUGAAAUGCGUAGAUAUAGGAAGGAACACCAGUGGCGAAGGCGACCACCUGGACUGAUACUGACACUGAGGUGCGAAAGCGUGGGGAGCAAACAGGAUUAGAUACCCGUGUAGUCC
rnacentral:rRNA from 1 species